rnacentral:rRNA from 1 species
GACGAACGCUGGCGGCGUGCUUAACACAUGCAAGUCGAACGGAAAGCCCCCUUCGGGGGGACUCGAGUGGCGAACGGGUGAGUAACACGUGGGUGAUCUGCCCUGCACUUUGGGAUAAGCCUGGGAAACUGGGUCUAAUACCGGAUAGGACUACGGCCUGCAUGGGUUGUGGUGGAAAGCUUUUGCGGUGUGGGAUGGGCCCGCGGCCUAUCAGCUUGUUGGUGGGGUGAUGGCCUACCAAGGCGACGACGGGUAGCCGGCCUGAGAGGGUGUCCGGCCACACUGGGACUGAGAUACGGCCCAGACUCCUACGGGAGGCAGCAGUGGGGAAUAUUGCACAAUGGGCGCAAGCCUGAUGCAGCGACGCCGCGUGAGGGAUGACGGCCUUCGGGUUGUAAACCUCUUUCAGCAUCGACGAAGCGCAAGUGACGGUAGAUGCAGAAGAAGCACCGGCCAACUACGUGCCAGCCGCCGCUGUAAAAC